CCUGUGCUAUGCGGCUGCUUCCCACUAGCUAUCUACCUUAUGUUUGGUAGUAUAUAUAUGUCCAUGCGCCUGUCUCACUUUGUCACAGCUCACCCUUCCCUCUCCCCAUAUCCUCAAGUCCGUUCUCCAGUAGGUCUGUGUCUUUAUUCCUGUCUUACCCCUAGGUUCUUCAUGACUUUUUUUUUUUCUUAAAUUCCAUAUAUAUGUGUUAGCAUAUGGUAUUUGUCUUUCUCUUUCUGACUUACUUCACUCUGUAUGACAGACUCUAGGUCUAUCCACCUCAUUACAAAUAGCUCAAUUUCGUUUCUUUUUAUGGCUGAGUAAUAUUCCAUUCUUUAAGACUGUUUCACAAGCAGUCAGAUCCAUAGAUCUCUACUCAUCACAGUUGGGGUGACUUCCCAGACCCCCAGAAGAGCAGGUAUAAUAGCAGGAAUUUUGGAGGGAGCACAUGAGGAUAAGUAAGGGUUGUUAUACUGUACUGAGAGCAAGAGAGCUAAGGAAAUACACACAUAACAAAUUUCAGUCCUCGUCCCCUCAUCCCCCGACUUGUCUCCUAGAACCCUGACAGUCAGGCUCUGUCUUUUGGACUGCGAGAAAAUAAAUUUCUGUUGUUUAAGCUACCAGGUCUGUGACAUUUUGUUACAGCAGUGCUAGAAAACUAAUAAAUGAAUACCUGAAAUUGAACAAUCAAAAAGUCACAUUACAAGAAUGUCCCAUAGAGCAAAGAAGAUAAAUAAAUUCUAAAAGAGAGGGAUAAUUGAGGAGUGUGGAGGUGGGAACUAUUAUUUUUCACAGCAAACUUUAUAUAACUGACUUAUUAACAUGAAUAAUUUUGACAGCAAUUAAAAUUGAACCUUAAAAAUACAGAUUUUUCUUCACUGGUUAAACAAAUGUAACAUAUAAAGCAAUUCAUUUUCUGACUUUACUCUUGGAAAUCUAGGAGACUUUGAAUUGGUGAGCCCCUAGAAAAUUAAAUUCCAUUCUGGAUAUCAUAUCACAUUGUAAUGGAUGAAGAAAUCAUAAAAAAGCUAGUCUGAACUCUCUAAACAUACAUAUAGAUUAACUAAAGACCUACCCAAAUAUAAGCUGUUAUUAUUAUUGUUAUUAUCAUUAUAUUUUUAUGUUCAAGUUGAAGGAGAAAAAGUUCACUGAUCGUGUGGAAUGUUUUCUUUUUGUCCCUGCAGAUGCACAUUUCAUGCUCUCCCCCUGCUCUCUGCCCUGACAAACUGAACUUUAUAGAUUGUAUCUAUGAGCUUUCCUGCCUUCUGUAUCAGGUUGGAUUUUGAAAAUGGGCAAACAAAGCAGGAAGUCAGAGGGAAGGAGGAGACUGAGAUCAGGGGAUUUGAUCUGGCUUUGCUCCUGCUAGGAUACCUUGGAUUGGUUGUGCCUCUCAAUGGAAGAUGACUCCUCCUCCCAAGGCUAUUGAUUCUGUAGGACGUUUUCCUCCCAGAUUCUAGAACUAGUCUUUCUCCACCCUUUGACCUCCAAGCUCACUACUAACUCCAGGUUACUGCACUAUCCUUGGUUCCCCAACUCUCACUCUUUGUAAAUAACCCCUAUAUAAACAAUCCUUGAAGUAUAUCCUAUUUUGAGUGUGCUAAUGGAAUUUCUGUUGAGCAUCCAAUCAUAUAAAAUAUGGUGAAAUAUAUUAGAAAUUAAACAACCACUUCCUUGCCUUCUGAUUAUAUGGCUUAUUUUCACAUGGGUAGUAAUUUCAAAGCUAUUUUGAAGUUUAACGUGACUAUUUAGGUAACAAACAGUAUUUACUAGUAUAUCAAGAUUUGUUAGCUAUACAAAUGGGCAAAGAAAUUGCAAUAAUUUACUGCACAUAAGAGGUGAGGUAAAACAGGGAAUGAUUGGGCUCUUUAAUGUAGCUACCGUGAAGUAUCAUUGCAUGAAAAGAGGAGGCAUACAAUUAUCACGCAUCAUGUCCAAUGUAUUAUUUAUUUAUACCAAUUGUUUAAAAUUGGAGGGAAUGGUUUUGUCUUCAGUGUAGCUGUAUCACUUGGGUAGAACACAGACAGAAAGGUGUAGACUAAGGUGGCUUUCUAAGUAAUAAACUGCCUGAUUUAAGUCCUUAUUUCUUUCUCAUAUGUAUCAGGGUGGAGCUUUAAUUCUUAAUUGAGGAAGAGUGUGACAAAUAUUCAUUUCCACUUCACUGGUAAACUAAUAUAGAAGAAUUAGGAGGAGUGAGAUUGAAAGAGGCAACAUCAGGCCUUAGAAGCAAUUUCUGCUUACAUUUGACCUAGUGUACUAACUUGUGUGUUUCUUCUAAAUCCUAAUGGACCCUGCCUUUUCUUCAAGCAAAUUUUGUUCCCUGGAGAACAACUUUGCUAGCAUUCAUUUAGGCGAAAUGUUAUUUACUUCAAUUCACUUAGAGAUUAUUGAAAUAUGCUCAACAAAGAAAGACCACUUCUAAAAACGUCUUUAAAAUGUUUCAAAUCAGGUACACAAGAGAUUUGGGGUAGGGCUUUAUAUCGUUAACUUGUUUUUUUGCAUUCUUUCUUGCUUACUUUUCCUUAUUUUUGUCUUAAUAUAGCUCAUUUUCAGAUUAUAAAACUGUAAAAUUAUUUGAAAACUAUAAGAAGGAAAUAAUAUUGUAUGGUCAGGCCACGCAAGAAGGCUAUUCUCUUGCUCUCUGUACAUCCCCUGCCUGACAAGUGCCUGCUUCACCUACACCCUAAGCACAUGACUGACCUUCCUCUGUACUUACCCCAGGCCCAGCUAGUGAUCGUUCUUAUCAAAGGAGCAGUGAGGGGCGGGCCCCUCUGCUGGUUUCCCUGGUAACCAAUGAGCCCACCUGAUGUCAAUUCCCCUAUAACGGGUAAUUCCACACCCCCACCCCCACCCCGGCCCCACAGCAAAGACUGCUAUCAUGUCCUGCUAGUCAACUGUUGCAUACGGUGGGGUGUCGCUCCAGGACCUUGCUUCAGACGUGUAAGCUCCCCCGUCCAUUAAACCAUUGAUAUCUCUAUUGCUGACACUGGGCUCUUUCAUCAGUCUUGAAGCUGGGCAAUCACAGGGCUUGUAGGCCUCUGGGGUGCAGCCCAACAAAUAUACACCAAAUUUUAUCAUAUUAUGGUUAAUACCCAAUGUUUAUAAAUGAGACCAUGCUUACACGUUUUAUGUUUAUUCUGAUUUUUUACAUAAUGUUAUAUAAUGAUAAUUAUGCCAUUAUGUACUUAAAAAAACAAGAUAAAAAUGUAUUUGUUUCUAAUAAUGGCAGAUAUGAAACUUAUUUGUGAAUUAUAGGCACAUAUAGGGAUUACUAAUCAGGACUUGAUUACAUCUUUCAACAUAAAGUACAUAAUUUGGAAGGACAGGUAAUGGAUUGAGGAUGGGAGAGCGAUGGUGCUAGUGUGUUAUAUCUAAGGAGAUUAAGACCAAUCCAAUAGUAUAUGGUCAAUAGCUCAUUGAAUUAGACAUUAAACAUCCUGUGUUGUAGGCUAGGUGCUACCAGUAACUAACUAUAAUGUGGGUAAAUCAAUCAAUAGAAAAAUAAGAUUUUAAAUGGUUGCGUGCUCAUCCAUCCUGUAUAUAUACCAUAAUUUAUUUAAGUAAUUCCCUAUUAGAUGAUUUAGGUUGAUUUCAGUUUGUCAAUAUUGAAACAAAUAAGAACAUGAUGUAUAUAAAUGAGUCCCUAACAUGCAAUCUUGGUCACCUACUUCUGAGAGACAGUUUACUGCUGUUGAUACCAAGCAAAGUCUUGCUGCCUGAAGCCCAUAGAAGCCAGUACUAUGGCACUGGCUUUUGAGAAAAGAAAGAGCUUUAUUUCGAGGUUGAUAGGGCAAGCAAGGAGACAGGCGGAAGGGCUCAACUCUGUCUCCUCCAUCCAGGGUUGGGGUAAAAUUUAAGCGGUUAGGGGAAUUUCAAACUUGGCAGAAGAUGAUUGGCUAGUCUCUAAUCAGUCCAUAUAUGGUAAUCCAGCUACUUAGGUUGCUGGAAGCUAGAUUUUUCUUAUUGAAGGACUUUUUGCUUUGUAAAGAGGUCAGGUUGCAACGUUUCUAUUCUUUGAGUUUCAUAUAUUUUUUUUAAGGGUUUCUUUUUUUAAUUAAGUGUAACAGGCAAAAUUAUUUAAGUCAAUAAAUUUUUAAGGAAUUUCACAUGUUCUGAUUCUUUCCACUGCUCCGGGGUCAUCCUGGAGACGUGGGUUCCCAUCUCGCACAUGCGCAGGGCUGUCUCUGUAAAACAACUCCAGGUUUGAUUAAUCAACAACGCGUUUUAGGGAAACAAAACCAGUUUAAGCUGGUCAAUGUUUUACGUGUAGUUUCACUGCUGUUCUUCUGCCUCUUUUUUCAGUCCUUCGAUUUUGGUGCAAAUAUGGAAAGGCAGUGAUGCAUAGUGGACAAAAGGAGGUGGAUCUGAGAUUUGUUCUGCGGUCUCCUCGCUUGGCUGACUCCUGAGUAAACCCUCACUUCGCUGCAAACCUUGAUGUCUCGGUGUUUUCGCUCACUGUGCUCGAGCAGGAGGAACCUGGUUCGGUAACACCAAGGGGCGGAUUUGCCUCCUCCAGGUAAACUUAGAGCUGCCAUCUUGGUGUAGCCAGCAGUGCAUCGGUCUCACAACCUGAAGGUCUUGAGUUCUAGGGCUGAGUUUGACAUCCAGUGACCUGUUACACCCUAGGAUGAGAAGUCCAUCAUAGGGCAGGACAGAGACGGAAAAAGCUGGAGUGUUGGUUCUCAGGAAGAAACAUUUUCCGAAUUUACAGUAUAAAAUCCACCCCCCCGCCAUGAUCAGCUAUUUCUUUCAUAAGCAGACCUGGAUAAAUUGAUCACAAUGGUGGCAUGCUGUGGAAUAAUUAUAAUUGGUCAUCUAGACUAAAAAAUAUAGCCAGAAUGAUAUUCUACACAGUGUAGCCAGGCUACAGAUGCUAAGUUUAAAGGAAUGUUGCAGUUGACUUUAGGGUUAUAAUUACAAUAGCCAAAUUCUAUGCAAUACAUAUAAAUGCUACAGGAAAACUCUAGAGCAUUCAAAAUAAUAUUAAAUGCUUCCACAGAAUAGUGCUACAUACAAUCAUAAAUAAACUAAGAGGCAAUAUUUUGACAAUUGGCAAAUUAUGUCACCGGCCCAUGUGUCAGCACAGUAGAACAGAGCCACUCUGCUGUGACCCGUGUCCAAAGCUGGCUCAUUCUGCCUGCAACAUAGUCUUUUAAUUCUUACACACAUCAUCUCACACAUGACAUUUUCUGGUUGGUACUAAGAGUGGCUUUUCUUACAUGCUGCCUAAUUUUUUUUCCCUUUCAUUUUUAAAAGAUUCUUUGAAUAAUAUUAUAUUUUGUAAGUAGUAUCUACAGGUUUGAUUCAAAUAGAAUGGAUCAGCAUUUAUCAGGAAAAACCUAAAUUGCACAAAGCAAAAUGUUGCUUGGUGAUACAAUUUUCUUAAUUUGAGAUACUAAAGCUAUGAUUGGAUAUAAUUAGUAUUUUUCAACAUUACUCCAUUUGAGAAUAAGAACAUAGUCUUGAUGAAAUAUCUCAGGCUUAAGUUUUAGUUUCUAUAGGGUAGCUUUUAAAAAUAAUAUAGUCAUGGUAUUGGUUUAAGCUUUGCAGUAUAUACAACCAUUACUUGAGUGUAAUCUAACAAAAAUAGUAUUGAAUUUAUAAGUCAGUAGAGUUCUUAUUUCGAUGGCCGAUUGACUACACAAUUUCAGAAAUCAUGUUCUGUUGCUGCUUCCCAAACUAAAUAAUAUUUCUGUACAAUUCUUCUGAAAAUUAAUAAGCAAAUGAAAAAGGAGGAGUUGGAGAAGGAACAAAGUAUGUAUGAUAUAAUCUAUAUAAAAGAUAUUAUUUUCAUUCCUUUUUACCACCAGUGAGGAACUAGGUACACAGAGAAGCUACAUAACUCCCCCAAAGUCACACAGGCAAUGGAACUGAGAUCUGAACCUUCAUGAUCUGAUUCUAGAAUCUAUGUUCUUAACUACUAUGAUACGUCACACCCUUCUGUAACUUUGGAAAAUACUAUCCUAACACCUUACCUUUAUGGUUCUGUGAAAUCUUUUGAACACACGAAUCUACCGAACCAGAGAUGGAAUAUUUGUUUUAAAUUACUUUGUUUUGCUUAUAGGGACGGACCUGCAAUGUCCAUUCACGUGCUUGUAAUCCUUUAUGGUGAAAACAUACACUAGCGAGAUAAUCUACGGUGUGCUACAAUCUUGACCACUCAGGUGCUUGGUCAACUGAAAUAAACACAGGAAACACUUGAUUUCAGAAUGAAGUAGGAUAUCUUCAAUUCUGAGCCCUAACAAUUUUCUGGAAUUAGUACAGGGACUCUAAGGUUAAAAUAAUUGCUUCAGUUAUGUGAAUGGUCUAUGAUAAGGGUUGACUGAUAUAUGGUACGUAUUGGAAGAUACAUAAUAAAACAUUUUUCACCCUAUUUACUGGCACCUACAAAUGCCAAGGGCUGUGCUCUGCCCUGGGUGGUGUAACGUGGAUACUCCUCGUCCACAGGGAGUUUACAGUUUAAUAGGGCGAGGCAAGCAUUUAACAGAUCAACAGACGUGCAGCAUCUGUCUAAAAGGGGAAGUACAGAUUGCUAAGGGAGUAACCCCAACUUGGGAGAGCUAAUUCAGUCUAGGAUGUUCUGGGAGUCAAGGGCACUGGGAUCUGAAGAAAACAAUUAUCAGCUGAAUAGAUUUGUGAGUGUGGUAGAGGUAGAAAAAGGAGAGUGUUCCGAACAUGUGGUAUAAUACUUCCAAGGACUGCAAAACAGAAUACGGAAGGAAGAUUCUUCAAAGUGCACACUACCACAUGUAAGGUAGAUAGCUAGUGGGAAGCAGCCGCAUAGCACAGGGAGAUCAGCUCGGUCCUUUGUGACCACCUAGAGGGAUGGGAUAGGGAGAGUGGGAGGGAGGGAGAUGCAAGAGGGAAGAGAUAUGGGAACAUAUGUAUAUGUAUAACUGAUUCACUUUGUUAUAAAGCAGAAACUAACACACCAUUGUAAAGCAAUUAUACUCUAAUAAAGAUGUAAACAAAAAAAAGUGUGAGGAUUCUUGAAAGAUAAUCCAGGAGUAGAUGGUUAAGUGCUUGAAAUCUAACUAUGCUCAGUCAGAAACCUUGGUGCCUCGUACAGUACACCCUUCUGCAAAGGACGGAGAAGGUUUAGAAGCAGGCCUGAAGGCAGCCAUGGCUGUAAGAUGAUGGAAGUCCUCUUGCCUGCUUUUACUCUGUCUUGGGCUCCUAAUUGCCCAGAAGUCCCUUGUUUCUACUGUUUGGCAGCACCCUUUUUCACAAGAGGGGAAACCAGUCUGAGCUGUGACUGCACUUACAGCACAAGUGAUUGAGUAAUGGGCUACUCCUUUCCGCUGUCGCAUCCUGCAGCCUCUCCCACUCCUGCGACCUUCCCUGUCUUCAUGUCUUUACCUGGCAUGAUGUAGCACAGCUGAUUGUUCAAGAGGAAACCAAACCGGUACCCUAGGGUCAGAAAAUUUACCUUUCAAAUACCGCUUUUGGCUUGUUCCAAGUACAGAAUCAAUCUACGUGUGCGUACACACACGUGUAAGAGCUAAAAGUCCUGUUGUAUAGUAUUCUAAAAAGAAGGAGAACAGAUCAUGUUUAUGAGGAAACUAAAUAGCCUCUCUUCAAGUAUUUAGGAUCCAUGGACAUAAAGAAAGCAAACUUGCAUCCAGAAAUUAGUCAUGCGUAUUGUUUUUUCUUGUUUUUGCUUUUCUGUGUUUCUCCUAUUUUUCGCCUGGGCACACUACAAACACUACCAUCCUGACCUUUACUGCAGCUAGAUGUGGCUACAAAACUCAGUUACAAUCAAAGUAAUGGGAAGGGAGUGGUAUGUGCCUACCUCUAGAACAGACCUUUAAAAUCUGUGAGCACUCUUACAUGUUCUAAACCCUCCUUCUUUUUUCGUUGUUGUUGCCGUUACCUAGAAUAGAGAGGCCAUGUGUUGAAGACUGAAGAGUUUCUAUUAGUCUGGGACUCGAAAUGAAUGCAAAAAUGCAAGAACCCCCAUCCCAACACUACAACUGCUACAAAUACACAUCUUUUCUCACUGACUUGGAACAUCAGUCUUCUACUAUUAGAUAAGAGAGAAAUACACUGUCUUUUGCUUAAGUCUGUAACAUGUUGUGUAUAUUUGUUACUGUAGCUUACCUUACCCUACCUGGCACAGAAUCUCUAAAUUCUCAUUCUGUGUUUAUGAAACAUACUAUAUUACAGGUAAACACAACUUU